rnacentral:rRNA from 1 species
AGAGUUUGAUCAUGGCUCAGAGCGAACGCUGGCGGCAGGCUUAACACAUGCAAGUCGAACGGGCACUUCGGUGCUAGUGGCAGACGGGUGAGUAACGCGUGGGAACGUGCCUUUCGGUUCGGAAUAAUCCAGGGAAACUUGGACUAAUACCGGAUACGCCCUUCGGGGGAAAGAUUUAUCGCCGAAAGAUCGGCCCGCGUCUGAUUAGCUAGUUGGUGAGGUAAAGGCUCACCAAGGCGACGAUCAGUAGCUGGUCUGAGAGGAUGAUCAGCCACACUGGGACUGAGACACGGCCCAGACUCCUACGGGAGGCAGCAGUGGGGAAUAUUGGACAAUGGGCGAAAGCCUGAUCCAGCCAUGCCGCGUGAGUGAUGAGGGCCUUAGGGUUGUAAAGCUCUUUUGUCCGGGAAGAUAAUGACUGUACCGGAAGAAUAAGCCCCGGCUAACUUCGUG